rnacentral:rRNA from 1 species
UACAGAGGUCUCAAGCGUUGUUCGGAUUCAUUGGGCGUAAAGGGUGCGUAGGUGGCGCCGUAAGUCAGGUGUGAAAUCUCGGGGCUUAACUCCGAAACUGCAUUUGAUACUGCGGUGCUUGAGGACUGGAGAGGAGACUGGAAUUUACGGUGUAGCAGUGAAAUGCGUAGAGAUCGUAAGGAAGACCAGUGGCGAAGGCGGGUCUC